ACGUAUGGGGCAAGCGUUAUCCGGAUUUACUGGGUGUAAAGGGAGCGUAGGCGGUAAGACAAGUCAGAAGUGAAAGGCUGGGGCUCAACCCUGGGACUGCUUUUGAAACUGUCUAACUAGAGUGCAGGAGAGGUAAGUGGAAUUCCUAGUGUAGCGGUGAAAUGCGUAGAUAUUAGGAGGAACACCAGUGGCGAAGGCGGCUUACUGGACUGUAACUGACGCUGAGGCUCGAAAGCGUGGGGAGCAAACAG
rnacentral:rRNA from 1 species